rnacentral:rRNA from 1 species
UACGGAGGGUGCGAGCGUUGUUCGGAAUCAUUGGGCGUAAAGGGCGUGUAGGUGGUCUGUUAAGUCAUGUGUGAAAGCCCCCGGCUCAACCGGGGAAGUGCGCAUGAAACUGACAAGCUAGAGUACCAAAGAGGAGGGUGGAAUUCCCGGUGUAGCGGUGAAAUGCGUAGAUAUCCGGAGGAACACCAGUGGCGAAGGCGACACGCUGGGCCGUACCUGACACUGAUGCGCGACAGCAUGGGGAGCAAACGGG